GCCAGGCACGGUGGUGCGUGCCUGUAGUCCCAGCUAUUUGGGAGGCUGAGGUGAGAGAAUCAUUUGAGCCCAGGAGUUCUGGGCUGUAGUGCGCUAUGCUGAUCGGGUGUCCACACUAAGUUCGGCAUCAAUAUGGUGACCUCCCGGGAGCGGGGGACCACCAGGUUGCCUAAGGAGGGGUGAACCGGCCCAGGUCGGAAACGGAGCAUGUCAAAACUCCCGUGCUGAUGAGUAGUGGGAUCUUGCCUGUGAAUAGCCACUGCACUCCAGCCUGGGCAAUAUAGCAAGGCCCAUCUCU
rnacentral:SRP_RNA from 1 species